rnacentral:rRNA from 1 species
UAGGGAAUCUUCGGCAAUGGACGGAAGUCUGACCGAGCAACGCCGCGUGAGUGAAGAAGGUUUUCGGAUCGUAAAGCUCUGUUGUUAGAGAAGAACGUUGGUAGGAGUGGAAAAUCUACCAAGUGACGGUAACUAACCAGAAAGGGACGGCUAACUACGUGCCAGCAGCCGCGGUAAUACGUAGGUCCCGAGCGUUGUCCGGAUUUAUUGGGCGUAAAGCGAGCGCAGGCGGUUCUUUAAGUCUGAAGUUAAAGGCAGUGGCUUAACCAUUGUACGCUUUGGAAACUGGAGGACUUGAGUGCAGAAGGGGAGAGUGGAAUUCCAUGUGUAGCGGUGAAAUGCGUAGAUAUAUGGAGGACCACCGGUGGAGAAAGCGGCUCUCUGGUAUGUAACUGACGCUGAGGCUCGAAAGCGUGGGGAGCAAACAGG